rnacentral:tRNA from 2 species
GGGUCGUUAGCUCAGUUGGUAGAGCAGUUGACUUUUAAUCAAUUGGUCGCAGGUUCGAA